UGCAACCGUUGAGCUGAAGCUUUACCUGAACCUUUAAGGAGAGCUGGACCCAACCUCAUGUCCCCAGACCAGCUAUCUCCCAGCAGAGACUGAUCAAAUGCUGAGCACUGAACGCACAAUAGAUUUGACGAAUCCCAAUACCCUGAACUGGGAGAGCCGUGCAGCGUUUCCUGCAGCUUGCUGUAUCCCCUCCUUUUCUGUAUGCUGACGGAGCACAAACAGGAACCUCUGAGGUCUAUCUCAUUUUGCAACAGCAUUACGGCAUAGAGGGAUACAUUCAGGGUCCCCAUUAUGCGUAGGCACAUGCCAGAAAACUGGAAGGCAAAGUGGAGCACAAUAUGGACAAUUUCCACCAUGAUUCUGGUUUCCCCAAAUGCACAGGAUCCACUGAAGGCAUUGCUGAGUGGAGCCAGGGUGUUACAUCCAGCGACGCUAUUACAGGUCUUGUACCAGGCGCAUGUCUCAACCACAAUUCAAGCUAAGCACGCAGCUUAAGCUACACACAAUGGUCAAAACCCAAGCCUGAAGGCCGCUGGGUCCCAACGAGGGCGUCGAGUGGUGUGGUCUGCAGACGCAUUGCCCUUCCUCUUGGCUCAAGCAGAAAACCAAUCCAUGUCUGAAGUGUUGCUGGGUUGCUUCUGCUAGGAAGAGACAUGAAUGAUAGGGGUUCAGAGUUCUUUUGGGGCAAUCUCUUUUCUUUUGGGAGAAUGGAGACAACAUCCUGUUUCCCUGAUCACAAUAGAAACAAGCUGGAGUGGAUCAGUUUGCCCGUUCUGUCCUUGCCCUGGCAAGACGGCUAUGCACCAUGCCGACACAGCAUGCUCCUGGCAGGAAUAUUCUCUGUAUUAUGGUACCUAGUCUUGCUAACUGCUGUGUGCCCUGGUAAGGGUUAAUCCCUCUCAACUCCAUUUGAUUCCUAGCACCUGGACACAGGACACGUUUGCACCUGGACACAGGACAUGUUUACUCCUGUGUAGCAGAGGGGGGUGUUUUAUGCUGCUAUAAAUGACAAUAGGAUGUGGAGCAGACACACCUAGGUAGCUCCGGUGGUAAAUACCCUUAUAGCAUGUGCUUAAUGAGUGAGUGGGGGAGCAGAUGGCCCUGUCUGGCCUUGAGCAAACAGCCAGCCUGGGAUAAGCUGUAGACACAUGACACUCGCACCAGUGCAACUUACUUACAGUGUAACCUCAUUUUUUCUGGGUUAAUUCUAUGUUAAUUUAAUUCAAGUCGAUUCUAUGUUAAUUUAGUUCAAGUAAAUUGCACUGGAAGUGGACGAUGUGACGUAUGUUUGCUUCCCUCUAUUUGCCCGUGGGUAAACAUGUUGUGUGCCCCGGCUCUGAGUCUCUCUCCGGAUUGAGGCCCAAUGGACUCGUUUCUGCUAUGAGCCCUAUAUCAGCCUAUUCCAAAAUGACCGCGUGUUAUAGGAACUGCAGAUGUCGUUGAAAUCUGCCUUCAGAAGCUCAGAUCAAAUUUUAUUUUGCUAGGAAGAGCACAACAUGCCCAGGAAAUAACCCAGGUCCCAGCAAUAUUCUUUUGCUUUUUGAAUGCUGAGUCUUUUUUUUUUAAUGUCUUCAACUUUGUAUUUCAAGACAAUUACUGAAUUUUAUAGCUAGCUAAAACCAUUUGGCCUUUGGCUUGGUGCCUUCUCAAGCAUGUCAGGGUCAGUUAUGAUCUCCAUAAAUACAUAAUCUCUCUUUGUCUGAUGAUUUAAUUAAAGUCACAGUUCUGUCCAGUGCUACCCAGUGUCUUCCACAAAGACAGGAAGACUUUGAGUAGAAGUAUUGGCUUCUGUCUUGAAAACAGAAAAACUCUAUUCUUCAGGUGCUUCUUCUUGCAGUGAGCUCUGCUCGGAGCUUGUAGAUCUGAAUUUGAUAUAAGAAAAGGAGGGUGUUUCCAAAGCACUCGCAGAGAAUACUAAAUAAGCUAUUGUGAGAAAAGGAGGGGAGGCUCUUUUCAGUGCUGUGGCUCUAUGAAUGCAGCAAGAUCCAGUUAUGCAGGGUGUUCUCCACUGGGCUGCUUUUGCUGAUAAAACUCUUUGCACAGUUUCUUUCUUUCUUUUUUCUUCUUUUUCUUUUUUUGAAGAGGAAGAGAACAAGCACUUACAGUACUUUUUUCCCCCUUUCCUCCAACAGAGAGUGAGUUCUAAAGGGAAUGGCAAAAAAAGGCUUUUAUGUUUGUCCCAGGGCUUUCAUAAAUAAAUGACUACAGCCACAAAUGUGGGCUGCUUGACUGGCAGGCGGAGGAUGAAUUGUGCACAUACAGUAAGAGUAGAUGUGAAUUUAUUGUGAACAUGGAGUAAAACUGUAUGUGUAUUGGCACUAGCAGAUUCAACAGAAAAUAACUUGAGGUUCACAAAUGCAGAUUCAACAUAUUCGUGUCUCUCACGGAGACGAGUGCUAUGAUAGCUAACACAAGUGGAAUGGAUUGGAAGGAAGUGGGGUGCCCAGAGGGAGCUUGAGGAUGGAGAAAGAGAGGAGGAAGGUAAGAGCCUUUGUACAGGAAACUGGUUACACGCCGCCAUCUAAAUGCAACCCAGACACCUACACAAACAACCUGAGCAAUGAAUUGUCAGGUUCUUUGAGUAGGUCCUUUCAAUCCUUAAAUGGAUGAUUAGGGUCCUCGGAGCCACACCUCUUCCCAGCCAGCAGCAUCCUACCGAUCAGCAGACUUGCUACCUCCUGGACAGAAAUCGGCAACCCCUGGCUGAAUCUGCCCGCUGCCUUCAUCAACCAAGUUCUGUUAAUUAUAUCACUUGAGAUGUAUUUAAUAUCUCUAGCCAGGAAAAGAUACGGGAAGUCUCACUGUGACAAGCAAUCACAGGGGCACUCAGCUGAUGAGCAGCUCCUGAUCAUUCAGAGUGCAGUAGGAACCUUCAAUGAAUAGGCCUUAAGUAAUGAUUUGCCAGAGGGAUGUGGCGGACAACAAGGCAAUCAAAGCUGCCUCUGCACCAUUAAGGAAGCUUAAGUGGAAUAAGAAGCACUGUGAAGCUAUUGACUGAGUAGGUGGGCAGCAAAAUGGGUUUAGGUAACUGUUUACUUCCUGCGUGGUGGAGCACACAGAGGGAGGUUUCUAUGGCUGCUCGUUGGCUGUCUGAUCCCGGCUGUCCAGAUCAGCAUUUUAUUUCCCUCCGUCUCUCUCCUUCCCUCUCUCAUGCACAGCUAAAGGAUGGCUUUGUUUCCAUCAAUAUGCUGCAAUUCAUUCUAAUAACUUUUACGCUUGGUUUUUGGGGGGGGUUUAAAUUUUUUUUUUCCAACCUAACAAUGUUUAAAACCCGCUUCUUGAAAGUAUUCUUAUUACUCUCGGCUACCGCAGCAGCGGCACAACACCUCGAGAGAUGCUAGCGUGAAUUUGUCAAAGGUUUUUCUUUCCCUUCCCUGCCAUUUUCCCUGGUGAAUUCUGAGCCCUUUGCAGGGGGCUGAGUUGUCAGAGAGAGACAGCUAUUGUUGCUGAUGUGCCUAAUCUCAGACAGGAGAAUAAGGGGUCAGGGAGUCUUUGUCUACUAAAAAAACCACCAGAUGAGUCCCUGGUGAUCUCCUCCACCCACUGUCUAGUUACACACCGGUGUGCUGGAUCCAGGAUUUGGCCUAAAUCCCCAAGUCAUUGAUUUCCCUAAGGUCUCUUAAAGGUGCCAGAACCAAACUGCAUCUGUAACGUGUGAGGAAAAUGAAACACUCUCCGGGGUUAGUAAGGCUGCUUCGUCUUAUUAUGCUGUUAAUAAUUAUGGGGGAAAGAGAUGACCACUUCACAGUAUUAGCCUGCUUUGAGGGGGAAAAGGAAAAUACCAAAGCUGUUCCAUUAAAGAGCAGGUUCACUGCAUUGCACAGCGAGUUCAGAAAGCUUGAGGCGCUCGGGGCUGGACGGUGCCUUCUCCGUGCAAUGCUGCGGUGGGGGGUGGAUAGAGUCACACCGCUCCGGUGAGCGCCUCUAUACUCCCAGGACGGACAUACCAUAGUGCCCACAAAGAGGAUCUAGCUUUGCACUCCCCUGUGCAGCCAGGGGAGAGCGGGCCUGAGCACACUUUGCCCCUGCUCUUCCCUGUAAUUUGCAGCGCUACAGCCUUGGUGGCGUCUCCCGCUGCUGUAUACUAUAGCAGUUAUCACAAACAACCAUUUCUGCAGUGGACUCAGUAGUGCCAUCUGCACUCAGCUGGAAGUCCCUCUACAGAACGGCAUACUGUAAGGGUGUUUUCUCUGUAAAUUCCCUUGACUGUCUUGCAUUUUAUACAGACAAGCACUUCUGUAUUGCCUUUGCCUGGAGGUUAUGCCUCUGAUAAACAUAAGCUCUGACUACCUGUUUAUCUAGAGAAAGAGUCAACCUCAGGAAGGCAUGUUCUCCCAUUGCAGGAUGAACAGCACCGAUUGAUUUUGUACAUACUAGGAAGGGAUUAGGGAUAUUCCUGGCAGCCCCCAACUCACUCCGUGACCUUGGAGAAACCACUGAAACCAGUAUUGUCAAAUUUCAUUUCCUUAAGAUAGGCUCCUAAACCCAGAGGUAGGGACUUAGCUGUGGCUCCCAGGGUUGAAAGUGCUGCCCUUCAUCUGUUCUCCCAAUUUGUACAACAGAGAUAAUAGGGCAGGGCAUUUGUUGAAGCUUUCCAAGAGCCUCAUAUUUAUUAUGAGUUUUAUUUAUUUUGUCACAUAUACACUAGUAUCUGUAGGCAGCCAUGCGGUGCUCUGUGUGCUAAGUCCCUACACUAAAACAUAUAUCAUAUCACAUCACAUCAUAUAUCAUAUCAAGGGUUGUCCAUAAAUAUCCACCUACCCUUCAACUCAUCCUUUCUGACAAGCUCAAAGCAAGGAAAAGAACAAGGCACUUUAGAAAUGCAAAGUAUGCCAUUAUUAUUGCAAUGUUUUUUUUUUCCAGUCCUGUUAUUGAUGGGAUCAAUCCAGCCAUGUUGGUGACAUUAAAGCAAUGAGACAAGAGCAAUAAAAGGGAGGGAGUGGGGUGCCAUUAGUCGAUGCAGGCCUCCCACCAGUCUGUCUCAGCCUCAGAAAGGCCGUAACAUGUUAUAUCUGGUAUUGUUUUAUUCAGUGUCCCUAUCAGGCAGAUUUGAGAUUCACAAGAAUCAGAAUAAGCUUGAGGAAUCCAGAAGAGCAAUUCUGGUCUCUUGUAAAAGCCCAGCUUUCCUACAGCAUGACAGACUGCAGUGAUGAAUGUUUUAACUUUACAGCAUUUUGAUGUGUAAUUUAUUUGCUGUAAAUUAAUUGCAUGUGUUGUUUUCAUUUUGCUGUGGUGAAAAAUUGGUUUUGCUCUAUUUUUAAUUAGGUGACAAUAUAGAUUCCUUUGCUGAUCAUGGUGCUACCAUUUACCCAUUUAUCAUUUUUUCCCCAGGGUGGCAGUUUCAAAUCCUUAUCCAGGACCUGACACAACCUUUGUGCGACAUUUGUAUUUUUUUCUGUCUCAGUCAGGCACUGAAUAUCUUUGGAUGAAAGGGGUUUUGAGAGAAGGGCCUUCCCAGAGGUUACGCAAGCCAAGUAAUCCAUCGGAAGCAGCAGUGCCUUUCCAUCUCCUGUUUUUUGGAGGAUCCCACUUGGGGAUAGCAUCACGGCAAAGUAGAGCUGGAAGGGACAUCUAGUCCAACCUCCUGCUCAAAGGACCGGGUUUGAGAUGAUGGAGUUGUAGGACAUCGGUUCAAAACCAAGCAAGGUUUAGAGUCACCAAAAGCCAUUUCCUUCCAACAAAUCUUCAGAGGCCUCCAAAAGAAGUUGUCCCAUUGACUUGUCCUGAGUGGGGUUGCACAGGUUUCAAAUCAUGCCGAGACUCAACUCUUCUUGCCCACGUGAAAACCAGCACUAUUGUUGACAGGUCUAGGAGCAGAACCAUGUCUCAAUCUCCGCAGGCAGUUCGCAUCCUUCGCUGCUUUAUACGUGGUCUCUUUCCCUCCCUCCGGGCCUGGGGGCUGCCCAUGGAUGGGGCAGUGUGAGGGGAAAUGAUCACUGCUGCACCUGUGCUUUGGAAAGCUGGUGGCCUUCAGCCUCUAUUGCUGCCAAGUGAACACAGCGGCUGUUACCUAAACUUUUGAAAGCAGCUGAAAAAGGGACUAUAAAAUUACCCCCUUUAUUGCCAGCAUUGUCCGUUAUCUUCAGCAAAUCCCUGAUAGCGUGAUAGAGCUCAGAUGUACUUACAAUCCAUCAAGCUGUGCAAAACCUAUGUUUAUGGUGAUAUAUACUUAAAAUAACAACACUAUUGAAAAGAGUAAAUCUAUUAACGAGCAAACAUUCCUGGUGUGAAAUGAAAAAUAUUGAUUAUCAUACCUGUUAAACCAUGAAAUCCUCUGCAACUAAUUAAUCUGCUAGAGAAAAGUUUGUCACCAGGAUUUUUUUUUCGUGUUGAAAUCCUCUGAAAUGAAUACCGUUACAGCAUAAAUCACACAUAAUAUACACAUUGACUUUGCCUGCCCUUGGAAGUUUCCAUUCCUUGUUUCAUAGGUCCCAGUACAGCAGGGUGGGCAAUUAUUUUGGGCAGAGGGCCGCUUAAUGAGUUUCGGCAAGCCAUCGAGGGCCAUGUGACAGGCAGCCCAGAGCAGAUGAAUAUUAAUUUUCUAAAUUUUUUAGGGAC